AAGUCGUAACAAGGUUUCCGUAGGUGAACCUGCGGAAGGAUCAUUAACACUGUUUAACUUACAGUUUUAAACUCAAAACUCGUGAACAGGCAUUCUCUCUGAGAAAGCCUCCCUCUCCCCUAUUUUUUUAUUAAAACCCCAACACCUUCACUUUAUCUUCCGCAAGGAAAUGAACUGAACAAAUACAAACAACGAAACGAACUACGCCGUAAAAAAGUGUGGCUUCGAUAAGUUAAUGAAAUGCUGAACAACUCUUAACAACGGAUAUCUUGGUUCUC
rnacentral:misc_RNA from 1 species